rnacentral:SRP_RNA from 1 species
GGGUAAGUCCUACACGACCAGCUCCCUCUGAACUCCCCCAGGUCCUGACCGAAGCAAGGGUAAGAGGUUGUAGCGGUGCGAUGUAGUCAGCUUACCCUUU